rnacentral:misc_RNA from 1 species
GGAAGUAAAAGCGUAACAAGGUUUCCGUAGGUGAACCUGCGGAAGGAUCAUUAAUGAGUUGUCAUGGGGUUCGAUGCUGGCAGCCAGUUUUUGGAUGCAUGUGCUUGCCCUAACAAUCAUCUUCUUCCAAACACCUGUGCACAUUUUUGAGGGAGUCUUGAGUUGGUUGCCGCUCUUGGGUGAUUUUCUCACAUUCCCUUAAAUCAUUAUACGCUAUUAACAAUGUUGAACGUGCUCUGUGCCGCAAGGCCAUUAAUAUAAUACAACUUUUAGCAACGGAUCUCUUGGCUCUC